CAUCCUAACCCUGGCAGUUGGUACAAAGGAAUUACAAGAACAGCAUUCCUGCCAGACAACCAUGAAGGGAGAAAAAUACUUCAAAUGUUAGACACAGCAUUUAAGAGGAAACUUGUAUUUACAAUUGGAAGGUCAAGAACUACAGGCCAGGAAGGUGUCAUAACAUGGAAUGACAUACAUCACAAGACAGAUCACAGACCCAACACACAGUUUGGAUACCCGGACCCUACUUAUUUAACUCGAGUCAAAGCAGAACUUGCUGAUAAAGGAGUGACAGAAGAAGACAUACCAAAAUUUCAUACUUCAUGAAUUUAAUUAGAUUAUAUGUUCACAAUGUUAGGAACACAUUUUAUUGUACAUAUUUUGUUUAACUAGAGACUAAAUUAGAAGUAUUUUAUUUUGACACAGCUUGAUUAUUCUGAUAUUGCACAGAUAUAAUUUACUGACAGUGGAGUUUUCUGAUCCUGCAUUGUUUUGCACAAUGAAUUUUGUUUCCCUGCCUUCAUAUGAGAUCUUGUGACUGUGUCGAAUAAUCACUUAUCUAAUAUUUUACAGACUUUAAAAUGAUAGUUUGUGUGAAAGAAAGAAUGUUUGUGUAAGCAUAAAUGUAUUUUAUCUUGAAUUAAUUUUCUUGCAGUUGAAAUAUGCAGUGAUUGGUGUUAUGAAUUCAAAUGUACUCAAAGCUACAGACAAGGUGUGUAUUUGUGUAAAUGCGGAAAAGCAGUUUAUUAAAGAACAUUAGUGUACAGCACAGCAGAGAAAAAUCAUUUCACUCAGUCACUUUUAAUUAAGAGUGCUGCGUAGAGCAAAGUUAAUAAAACUGCUUCAGUUGAAAACAUCACAAACAUAGACUGGUUCAGUUGGGAGUAUUUCCAUCAUGCUUCCUGCUGCUAUCGGCAUAUAAUGGAAUGCUCCAUUCAGUUUGGUCCUUUAGGGCAUUUUUCAUUAAAUGUUAUAAACUAGUGUCUGAUACAAUUUCUGCUUUCAGUUUCAAAAAAAUGGUGUAGGGACAGAGAAAGUUACCGCAGCCAGUUCAAACUAAUAUGCUACUUUGGUAUUCGGGCUUGCCAAAAUCGCAAGUGAUUUUCUUGCAAAAGCAAUUUCAGUCUAUAAAAAAAACAACAAUUGAGCAAAAUUUAUUGGGGCAAAAAUUAAGCAUUACUGGCUAGCGUCCUACAACCGGACACUUUUGGAAUAUUUUUCACGAUUACUCUGGGGAAAAUGAUAUAUCUAGUGGUUGAAAUUUCAUGUGAACAAAGCUAGGUUCUCCUCUCAACUAAAGAGUUAAUUUGUUUACUUCUAAAAAUGAAGGGCCACCAAAUCACGUUAUUUUAAGGUCAAACAGUACCAUGUUUACGGACAACGAGUUGUCACUUUAUUGAUUUUCAAUUUUCAUUCAACAUUUAAUUAAACUUUAUUUUCAAACAAGGGAAAGUAGUUGUACAGUGUCUGAGUCAUAGAAUUGUACGAAUUACCCCUUGAAUCGAUAAUUUGAUCGUAUCUCUCCCGAAUAAAUCUUUUAAAAUUUCACUCUUCGAAGUGGAUAUUUUGAUAUGAAAAUGUGUUUUAGGGUGUAUCAAAAUCAUGUACUAAAUUAUCAAAGCUGUAUUUCCCCAGUUUAAGAGUUUCCUAAGCGUCUUGUCUGCUUACAUCAAAUUUGCAUGGGGCCUUUAGAUUUAAUGGCGUGACCCUAUGGAAAAACUGCGCAUGCGCACCGCGCAUUUCCGACUUCCCCCAACAUGUAAACAUGCUGCGUGAGUGCAGACGAAAUGAAAUGUAGCAUUUCUUGUAAAAUACUUAAAUUUAACCGUUGUAACUUCGCUGUGCUGUUGAAAUCAAGCGUCCAUCUGAUCGUAAGCAGAUAAGCAAGGUUAAAGACCGAAAUAAAACAUUAACAGGACUCUCCGGUUUGGUGCUCAUCCGGAUUUGGUGGUCGACAGCCAGUAAGCAAUAGAAAAAUGAAAUACUCAGUUACCUAAAAAGUAAAGCGGCAAUUAGAACAGAAGCUUGUACUGUUUUGAAUUUGAAUCUUACCAUUUACUAAUUAUUUUUCAGAUAUUAAGUGUAAAUUUUAAAGAAUGUCUGUUUUUUGCAAAUUUCAUUUUAUUUUAUUAUGUUAGCAAAUGACUUGUAAAUAAGCACAUUAUAAAGCAACAAGGGAUUAUGUUUAUAAAACACUUUUGGAUCAUAUGCUAAAUUAUGUUUCAAUUAAACCAUAGUUCAUAAGCUGCAAUAGUAGGCACUGCUGUUGGAUACACUAAAGACUUAUUAUACUAGUGAUAUUUUGGUGGGUUGAGAAGUUGUGGCAAGUUUAUUGUUUUGCGUGUUGAUUGGGUUUUGAUUCCAAAUUAGGCUACAGUGAAAGUUGUUGUAACAAUAUAAAAAUAAUUGACUUUAGUAAUGUAUAUUCAUAACUGUAUUGUACUUUCAUUAAGGUAGUGUAUAAUGUUUUAUGAAAUUGUAAUAGCUUAAAUCUUCAAAGGUUUGCAGAUUCUAGCUAAUAGAAUUCAGUAACACAUUAUUAUAUGUCCCCUUAAGUAUAUAUAUUAGCAUUAUUAUUUUGUGCAACCAUUUUGGUGGGAUAGUUUGUAGAUUGAUCAUAUUUGUAAUUGCUAAAAAAAUCUUCUUGUCUGAAAGUUCAAGGCCUAUGCCUUUGAUAUUUGGUAUGUAGCAUUGCCUAGUGGAUCUCUAACAAGAUUUUGUUCAAAUUAUGCCCCUGGGGUGAAAAGAGGCCCACCCUGGGGAUCACUUGUUAUAUGAGUUAUAUAGGGGAAAAAAGUUCAAAAUACAGCCUUGAAAUUUGGCAUGUACAGUUUUGCACACCAAUCUGAAAACUGACUUUCAGUGACCAUGAAUAUGACCUACUGACCAACGUUCUUAAUAUUUUAGCAUCAGUUUGCCAUUUGAAACAUGUGGCUCAUAUUACUCAGGUGAGCGAUCCAGGGUCAUCAUGACCCACUUGUUUGUUUGUUUAUAUUCAUUCAGUUAGAAUGGCUGUUGAGUACUGGAGCAUUGCUAUCCUCUGAUAGCACUUUUUAUGUUUCUAAAAGUUAAGUAAACUUUGAUUUCCAGGAAGUGACCAUUCAAUUUAUUCAUUCAAGUACACAAGUUCUAUAUAUGUCCUUUAAUAUCAUUAUUAUCAUCCUUGCUAUUAUUGUAAAAUCUUUUGAUGAUUAUUAUUGAUCCUUUUUUUUCUUGAAAACCUUUAUGCAGUUUUCUUCUCUUAAAAAACUCAAUAAACUCAAUAUCUUGUAAUAAUUGCCUCUAUGUAUGAAGUAUGUUAUAUACCACCAUCCCUAAGAGUGUCUUAUUUUAACUUAUAGAUAUUUAAUCAGAACAUUCUGAAAGCUUACCAAAUAUUGUAAAGAAAAAACAACAAAAACAUUCAUAUCAUUACAAUCAUCAGAUCUUGGUAUUUGUAAAGUUUAGAUACUACAGUUUUAGAAAAGUGUGUUUUGUUUCGGGAAUGUCUCCAAUAUAUUUUUUGUAAAACACCAUUUAUUUGUUUGGUAGUAGUAUGCAUAAUUGUGUCUGAUAAAAUUCAUUUAUAAACUUAAGUGCUUAGUUUAAGGUAACUUUGUGUCAGUUUAAGGUAUCUUAAGAUUCUGAACUUUAAGACCCUUAUUCUAAAAGUAAUGGUUGCAUACCAUGAAAAAGGCAUAGUGAUGAACCAAAACCUUCACUGGUGUCAUGAAAUGGUAUGAAAAUGAAAUAUUUCAAUAGUUGUGCAGAUGUUUUGUUUUUUUUAUUCUGUAAGAUGUAAAAAACAUGCUGGUGAUAAAAACUUGAUUUCUUUUGUUUAUGAUAUAAUCAAAUGGUUGAAAACGUCUAAUGUUUACAGAAGAGCUAGUGAUAACAACAACAUGUUUCUGUGCAGCUGAAAUUCAGACUUUUUUCAAAAUGAAUGGAAAUAUUACCAUAAUAAUAGCCUUGAUAAGUGAAGCUGUACAAAUUACACAUAUCUUGCAGUUCCAGAUAAAUUGAGAUACUGUUGCUAUUGUAUUUUCUAGCAUCUCGAGUCGCAAGUGACAUUGUUUCCUGAGGAAUAUGAAGGUUAAAUGUCAUGUACUUGUACGCAUACAACGUAAAAUGUACCAUAGAUAAAUGGUGGUCUUUGUAAAUAUAAUAUUUCUACAAUUGCAAAAACGAGAUAUACACUGUAGUUUACUUAACAAUACUUUACUAUUCAUAUGAUUUGGGUUUUUUAGCUAACUUGUCACAAAGUGACAAGGUGAGCUUUUAUGAUGGUACGGCAUCCGUCGUGCGUGCGUGCGUGCGUGCGUCCGUCUGUAAACUUUUGCUUGUGACCACUCUAGAGGUCACAUUUUUUGUGGGAUCUUUAUGAAAGUUGGUCAGAAUGUUCAUUUUGAUGAUAUCUAGGUCAAGUUCGAAACUGGGUCACGUGCCAUCAAAAACUAGGUCAGUAGGUCUAAAAAUAGAAAAAUCUUGUGACUUCUCUAGAGGCCAUAUAUUUCACAAGAUCUUCAUGAAAAUUGGUCAGAAUGUUCACCUUGAUAAUAUCUAGGUCAGGUUUGAAACUGGGUCACGUGCCAUCAAAAACUAGGUCAGUAGGUCUAAAAAUAGAAAAUCCUUGUGACCUCUCUAGAGGCCAUAUAUUUCAUAAGAUCUUCAUGAAAAUUGGCCAGAACGUUCACCUUGAUGAUAUCUAGGUCAGAUUCGAAACUGGGUCAUGUGCCUUCAAAAACUAGGUCAGUAGGUCAAAUAAAAGAAAAACCUUGUGACCUCUCUAAAGGCCAUAUUUUUCUUGGGAUCUGUAUGAAAGUUGGUCUGAAUGUUCAUCUUGAUGAUAUCUAGGUCAGGUUCGAAACUGGGUCACAUGCGGUCAAAAACUAGGUCAGUAGAUCUAAAAAUAGAAAAACCUUGUGACCUCUCUAGAGGCCAUACUUGUGAAUGGAUCUUCAUAAAAAUUGGUCAGAAUGUUCAUCUUGAUGAUAUCUAGGUCAAGUUUGAAAGUGGGUCACGUGUCCUCAAAAAGUAGGUCAGUAGGUCAAAUAAUGAAAAAACCUUGUGACCUCUCUAGAGGUCAUAUUUUUCAUGGGAUCUGUAUGAAAAUUGGUCUGAAUGUUUAUCUUGAUGAUAUAUAGGUCAAGUUUGAAACUGGGUCAACUACGAUCAAAAACUAGGUCAGUAGGUCUUAAAAUAGAAAAACCUUGUGACCUCUCUAGAGGCCAUACCCUUGAAUGGAUCUUCAUAAAAAUUGGUCAGAAUGUUCAUCUUGAUGAUAUAUAGGUCAAAUCCGAAACUGGGUCACGUGCCAUCAAAAACUAGGUCAGUAGGUCAAAUAAUAAAAAAACCUUGUGACCUCUCUAGAGGCCAUACUUUUCAUGGGAUCUGUAUGAAAAAUGGUCUGAAUGUUCAUAUUGAUGAUAUCUAGUUUGAGUUUGAAACUGGGUCAACUGCGGUCAAAAACUAGGUCAGUAGGUCUAAAAUUAGAAAAAUCUUUUGACCUCUCUAGAGGCCAUAUUUUUCAAUGGAUCUUCAUGAAAAUUGGUCAGAAUUUUUAUCUUGAUGAUAUCUAGGUCAAGUUCAAAACUGGGUCACAUGAGCUCAAAAACUAGGUCAUUAUGUCAAAUAAUAGAAAAAACGACGUCAUACUCAAAACUGGGUCAUGUGGGAACAGGUGAGCGAUUCAGGAUCAUCAUGGUCCUCUUGUUUAAAGAUACUAAAAUCACAGGUAAAAUGAAAAUUUGCACAUUUCAUUGCAGUUUUUCAAUGUUUUGUUACAAAGUAUUGUAAUGAAUUAUUAUUAUAGUAAACUCUGUAGACCUGCAUUUUUUUCAUUGAGUAAAACAGUGUAUACUGAAAAAGUCAAAUAUAAAGAAUCAGCAAUAGGUCCAUGCUCUUUGUAAGAACUUUCUACAAGUUAUAAUACUCUUUUAAGUUAAAAAGAUGUUAAAAUGCAUGUAAAAACUGAGUAGUAAGUUAUUGUUGUUCAAAACUGCAGUUGUAUGGAUGCCGUUUGCAUCGAUUUUUCUCUCUCAAAUAUUCUUUAUUUUGACAUUUCUGAUUGUGUUAAAUGUUCAAAGUAUAUAUGUUAAGUUAAUGCUGUUGAAAAUUAAUGUACAUAAUCUUAAAUGCUUUCUUAAUGUAUGAAAAGUAUUACAUUUCUGUAUAUUCAUAAUAAAAUUACUUUAUAUAUUUAGGAAUUUUGGUAAAAGGUCCUCCAUAUUUUUAUACCACCAGUGUGGAAGACCAAGGAAACCUAGUGUUCAAACUUUCAGUCCAUCUGUCCAUCAGUGGAGACAUCAGUCUGUCUGUCCAUCACACUUACUUUUGUGUACUCAACUCCUACAGUUCCUAUCCAGUUAAAAUGAAGUUUGCUAUACAUCAUCAGCAUAAAGUGGACAUAGGCAUGUUAUAAGGACUUUCAAGUUUGAUUUUAGUUUCUUAGUUUUGAACUUUGAAAUACAUUUUUGUAUUGCAGCGACAUCAAACACUAUGUACUCAUUUCCAUCCAAUUGAAAUGAAACUUGGUAUAUUUCAUUAACAAUAAGGAGGCAUAUGCAUGUUAUCAGUUAUGGCCCCCAUUUCAUAAAACUAGCAUCAAGUUUUAACCUCAUCAACAUGUCAUGCAGAGAACACAAUGUAGAUCUUUAGGUCCAAGGUCAAGGUCACACAUAGAAGUCAAUUAUCAGAUGUCUUAAGGUUAUGAUCACAACAUUUUACUUACCCUAUAUCGAAGUGGAGUCUGGGGAUAUUAAUCACCUUUCAUUUUAGCUCACAUUUUUCUGGUCUGGGCUACUACUUUGCUAUAUAUGGAUUGAUAUUCAAAUAGCUUUUUUGUUUGAAUUAAUAUGUAUAUAUUGGGUGGGCCGGUGGUGUAGUGGUAACACGCUUGACUGUCAGUCCAGAGGUCCGGGGUUCGAAUCCCGGUCCAGGCACUAGAAAUUUCUGAGAUGCUCUUGAAUGUCUCCCGCCUAACUAAGAGGCCUGUACUGGUUCUUCCCAGGAAAGACGGCUUCGCAUGUAUCGGUGCUAUACACCAGGCAUGUUAAAAAACCAGACUCUGUUCGCAAAGAGCUAGGCUAAGUAAGCCGGACAGAUCUGUAUCUAAAAUUGAUUUCUCUCUAUCUAUUCUGGGGCUUUAUCUCACUCUGUCCCUCUGGUCAGAUCGCUCUGUGUCUGUACUAGUAGAGGAUGAAUUUCGCGCCCUGUGUGGCUGCGUUUGCUACAUGUAAAGUGCCUUUGAAAGUGUUUAUCAUGAAAAGGGCGCUAUAUAAAUCUGGUAUAAUAAUAAUAAUAUACCUACAUUUUAUUUCCUUUUGUAUACCUAAAUUUCAUUCCCAUGAGGUUCUGGGACUUGAGUAUGCAAAGAAUUUGAACCACUGCCUUACCUUUGCAUGAUCAGGAGGGGCGACUUAAAGGUACUGAACACAUUGUUUUUCUCUAUGUUAUUCCUGAAUGUAUAAAAGUUUUAUAUUCCAUACCUCAUAUUUUCCUUUUGAAAUAAAUAUUUUAAUCCUGUUUGAUGCCAUAUAACCUGUACUGUAUUGUAAAACCUACAUCUUAUUUAGUUGAGCCCUAGAGUGCAAAUCCUUUACACCUGGACUGUGAGACUGCUGUAACAUGUUCUCUGAAAUCUGUUUGUGGCAAACAGUGUAUUUAUAAUACUUGAAAACCUAUGAAUUUUGUGUCUGUACAUCAGUUUAUUAAUAGUUGCCACUAUAAGUUGCCCUUAUUAAAUGGCUUGCCUAUCAAUAGUAUAAAAUUAUUAAAUGAAAAUGAUGGACCUGAAGUGGUCCCUAGCAUGACUAAACCUGUCUUUGCAGGAGGGCAUAGCCAGAGUACCAACUUAGGUUUAGAAGUGUUAACAUGUUAUUGAAAAUGUUAGUGAAUGGAAAAUCGAUAAUCAUAUAAAAUAGACAAACUUAUUAAUGUAAUGACUCAAGAGUUACAUGACAUCAUACAAACAAGGUGGGCCAAUAACCAGUUAUUGUGCCCACUUCCAGUUACUGAGCUGGUUUACAGGAUUCUGUCCCAAGAUACUUUGUUACUAGUUAGUUUUGACUAUUGACCGGCAAAUCAUUCAGUAAGUGUUUUAUUACGUCAAGCCAGAAAUAAAAUUUAAACCACCACCUAUGGAAUUACUAUCCAUAGAAUGUAAGACCUGACAAUCCCUGGUUGUAUAGAAAUCCAUAUUGCCACUGGACCAUAGAUGUGCUGUGUAAAUUUUUUUUAUAUAUAUACAAUGCUAGGCACUUUGCAAUGAUUGGUCUGAUGUGUUGUGGUGGUGAUUGUAUAUUGGUAUGUAUAAAUUGUAUCAACAUGUAUGUAUAAUCAUUUAUUUAUAUUGCGGUUAAUUGAUAUUAUGAACUUAGUGGAUCUUGUGUAUGGGAAAACAAACUGAUUUAAAUAUUAAUUAUUUCCCUUAAUAUUUAGAUACAUGGUAUCCUGGUGAUAGGGUUAACUUUCAGAGAGAAUAUAUAGCUUCUCUGGUUCCAGCCAGUAAAAAAAGUAAAUAUCACAGUUGUGAGACAUGAUUACAGUGAUUUGAGCAAAUUUGAACCAAGUGCAAUGUGUAGUGCAGUUCGUGUGUAUAUAAAGCAGCAUUGAAACCAGGCCAUUGCCACAAUUUAUCUUAUUGUGUUGUGAUCUCUCUCUCUAUUUCUCCCUCUAUUUAUCUAUUUGAUAUAUAUAACUUAUUAAUAAAGAGGCAGGAUUGGUCCAGGAGCAUUCUUCGAAACUUUUGUUUGCUUAAAAAUAUAGGUCAGCAAAGUAUUAUAGAUUAUACUUUACCUAAUAUUAUUUUAUGGCAGAUUUGCUAUCAUUAUAGUAUAUUUAAUGUUGUUAACUUUACAAUUAUACAUGCAAAUGUUGUUCUAAAUAUGUUUGUUGAGUAAUGUUCUUGAGAUGUUAUAUUAUGUGAAAACAUCUUUCUUGUAAAUUUAUGCAGUUUUUUGCCUUUAUCGUUAUAAUAAGCAGAUUUAAAUAUUUAGCUCAUUGGAGUAUUCAAGGGUAAGUUAUUGUGAUCGCCCUUCGUUCGUAAACAGUUUUACUGUUCACAUAUUGGAAACCUCAUUUCUUGAACAAAAUAAAACUUACUAAAUUGUAUAUGGUCACAGGAUCUCAGUCAAGUUCAAUACUGGGCAAGAUUGCUCCAGCAACACCAGUGUUAAGGCCAUUGAAUGCUUCAAAAUUGACAUACAGGGUGUAAGGAAGGUUUGUUUGAUAUAAGUAAACAGCUAUGCAAUUUUACUGAGACUAAAGAGACAAUAUGAAAGGUACGUAGUUUCACUGAAAGAAUGUCAGUUGAUGAAAGGUUUAUUUUUUCAUGCUACAUUAUAUAAAAUUUUAUUAUUCAGUGAAAAUUCCAUUGCAGAUUUCAAAAACUUUAUUUUUUACAGUGUAAUGCAUAUAUAUACAGUCGACAUUGUAUUAAGAGACCGCCCGAGGGACUGAUAAAAAGUGGUCUCUUAAUGGAGUGGUCUCUUAAUGAAUUUCAGUCAGGUGAAGAGAAAAGAUAUUUUAACUGUUAAUAUAACUGUAUAUAUCAUGAGCAUACAUAUAUGUAUAUAAAUUUCACAAACUGAAAAUUAUAACUUGAUUGUUUGUAAGUUCGACUGUUACAAAGGUUAAUUGCAUCCAGGCAGGUGCAAAAUGUACUCGCUAAUUACACAGGUGAAGAAAUACCCGGCAGGAAUUUGGUACCAGGUUGCUUAAUAGAUACUUUUGUUAAAUAUUUUUCCUGUCGGGACUCCAUUAAAGUGGUCGCUGGUCGUUUAAUAAAAAAGUCGUUUAAUGGAAUAACUUUUUAUACUGAAAACGUUCGGGAGGGAUUUUGACCGGUCGUUUAAUACAAAAAUCGCUUAAUAAAGGUGGUCGCAAGUACGAUGUCGACUGUAUAUAUAUCCUUAAAAUACCUGGUAUGUUGGAACGUAAUUCUGUUCAUUCCAUAAUGUACCGUUAUAUGUACCAGGGAUCUUGGAACGAUCAUAGAUCAUUAAUAAAAGAAUGUUCCAACAAACCAGGUUAUUCAGGGUUUUUAUAUAUAUAUAUAUAGUUAACUUUCAGAGAGAGAAAAUAUAGCUUCUCUGGUUCCAGUCAGUUAAAAAGACUAAAAUAUCACUACUGAUUUAUGAGACAUGAAAACAGAGAUUUGUGUAUAUAUAUGCAAAUGUUGAACCAGUAUGAAUGUGUGGUACAAUUCGGGCUCAUAUAUAAAGCAGCAUUGAAACUAAACUUACUGGGUUAGUGGACUUGCUGUGGCAUGUACGUGUUCGUUUGUACUGCUAGGCGCUUUGCCGUAAUUGUGUGGUUUAUUGCGGUGGUGAUUUAGUUUGUAUAACUUCUCUCUACUAUAUAUAUAUAUAUUAAGGAUCUGACUGCUUGUGUUAUUAUCAAUGAAUGAAGUAAUGCCGAUUUAUUUUGAAAUGUUGACCUGCUGUGAAUUAAGUGCAUCAGAAUAAAUUUUAUUUUCUCCAGUUGAUAAAUCUGGAUUUUAUCAAAUUUAUGUAUCAGCAAUAUUAUAAAUAUUGCAUUCCUGAGAGGGUUAUAAGAAAAAUGUUCACCUGGCGAUAUAAUUAUGAAUAUUGAGCCAAGGUGUAUAUUCAUAUUUUGAGGGGUGAGCAUUUUCCAUAUCCCUCACAGGAAUGCAAUAUUCAUCAUAUUAUACCGAAGAAAUAUACAGGUAAAAACAUUAACUCGAACAUAAUGAGUUAAAUGAUUUAUUGAAACAAUAAGGUAAAGACAAGUAUUAUAGAAGUCUUAAUUAGAGAACACACCAAAAUUGUGGCAAUUUUUUUUUUUUUCAAGCAAUAUCAUGACUGAUCAUACGCUAACAUAUCUAUAAACUCAUAUAUUUAAAUUCAUAUUACAGUGUUGUAUCAGUGCCGAAACUGACAGCAGUAACAUUGGAAAAACGGUGAUAAUUAUCUUAUUUCUUAACGAUACAUUUAAGUAUGAGCACUCAUAUUUUUAGUUAGAUCAUUUCCGAUCUGACAAUCAUAGUUUAAAUUCAAAAUUUUAUAAAGUUAUUUUUGGCACGGAAAUCAAAUCAUUGAAAAAAAAAAGAAAAACUGGCCGGGGUCAUACAUGCAUGAACACUAGAAAAAAAUAAUUUAAUCAUAUUAACUUUGUAGAGGGGAUUAUCCGUCAUCUCUUGUCCUGCAUCAUCAUUUUUACUUAAAUGUUUUUCUCAAACUUUUUGUCAGACUUACACAAAACUUUUUCUGCAAUAUCCUGGCACCAACCUCUUCUCCCAAAUUUGUUCAAUGGUUCUGCAUGGCCCAUUUUAGAGGCCAUCAAAGCUGAAAACAUUUUACUUCCCAUAAACUGCUCUGUUGACCUGCACCAAACUUGUACUGACUAGACUAAAUAUCCUUGUAUGGACCUCCCUCAGAAUUGUUCAAGUGGUUCUGCUAGGCCCCUUUUAUUGAGUGCUAGAGCUUCGAAUUAAUAGAAAAAAAACUUUAAACAACUUCUUCUCAUGAACUGCUUGAUGGAUCAUUACUUUAUUGGCCUGGCGCAUCCGUACACAGACCUCUCUGAAUUUCUAGCUUGUCUGAUUUUGAAAAAAAAAUCUAAAAAGAGGGCCAUGAUGGCCCUAUAUCGCUCACCUGUUAUCAUUGCACUUGAGGACAAGAAGGUCCUCAGAAAAAAUAUCUAAGCCCAAAGGACAGGAACAACAAAGGGAAGAAAUUUAACCAAAAAGAAAAAAAAAUCUUACAAGGUAUAGAUAUGUUAAAAUACACCUAAAAAUUGGAGGUACCAUCCAUGUUGUACCACAGAAAACUGGUCUCGUGUUUUCCCUACGGCCAAUAAUAAAAAAGUUACUAAAAAUAAGCUAUUUAUAGUACCGUAA